rnacentral:tRNA from 1 species
GUGAUUGUGGUUCAGUGGUAGAGUAUAUGCUUAGCAUGUAUAAGGGCAUGGGUUCAAUCCCCAACACCACC